rnacentral:rRNA from 1 species
UGACCUCAAAUCAGGUAGGACUACCCGCUGAACUUAAGCAUAUCAAUAAGCGGAGGAAAAGAAACUAACAAGGAUUCCCCUAGUAACUGCGAGUGAAGCGGGAAAAGCUCAAAUUUAAAAUCUGGCGGUCUUUUGGCUGUCCGAGUUGUAAUCUAGAGAAGUGUUAUCCGCGCUGGACCAUGUACAAGUCUCCUGGAAUGGAGCGUCGUAGAGGGUGAGAAUCCCGUCUUUGACAUGGACUGCCAGGGCUUUUGUGAUGCGCUCUCAAAGAGUCGAGUUGUUUGGGAAUGCAGCUCAAAAUGGGUGGUAAAUUCCAUCUAAAGCUAAAUAUUGGCGAGAGACCGAUAGUGAACAAGUACCGUGAGGGAAAGAUGAAAAGAACUUUGGAAAGAGAGUUAAACAGUACGUGAAAUUGCUGAAAGGGAAACGCUUGAAGUCAGUCACGUCGACCAGGGAUCAACCCUGCUUUUGCUUGGUGCACUUCCUGGUUUGAUGGGUCAGCAUCAAUUUUGACCAUUGGAAAAAGAUCAAGGGAAUGUGGCAUCUCUGGAUGUGUUUAUAGCCCUUGGUCACAUACAAUGGUUGGGAUUGAGGAACUCAGCACGCCCUUGUGGAGUGCUUAGGAUGCUGAUAUAAUGGCUUUAAUCGACCCGUCUUGAAACACGGACCAAGGAGUCUAACAUGCCUGCGAGUGUUUGGGUGGAAAACCCGAGCGCGUAAUGAAAGUGAAAGGUUGAGAUCCCUGUCGUGGGGAGCAUCGACGCCCGGACCAGACCUUUUGUGACGGUUCCGCGGUAGAGCAUGUAU